GACGAACCGUGCGACCGUUGUUCGGAAUCACUGGGCUUAAAGGGCGCGUAGGCGGGUCAUCAAGUCCGGGGUGAAAGCCCCCAGCUUAACUGGGGAAGUGCCUUGGAUACUGAUGGUCUCGAGGGGGGUAGGGGCAGUGGGAACUUCCGGUGGAGCGGUGAAAUGCGUUGAUAUCGGAAGGAACGCCGGUGGCGAAAGCGCACUGCUGGACCUUUUCUGACGCUGAGGCGCGAAAGCCAGGGGAGCAAACGGG
rnacentral:rRNA from 1 species